rnacentral:tRNA from 1 species
GGAGGAGUACCCAAGUGGCCAAAGGGGGCAGACUGUAAAUCUGUUGUCAGUGACUUCGGUGGUUCAAAUCCGCCCUCCUCCACCA